AACCGUACCUCAGUGUAGACCGUACCUUUUUCGUACCUUUUCUAUAUUAGUGAUUUAUUUUUUACUGCAAACUACAAAGGGUAAAAAAAAAAUCGCCUUCUCCUGUUUUGUCAACAUUAUGAAUUUGCGUUUAAAAAACUUUUUUCUUCCAUCCAAAUAAGACUUGGCUGUUUGGAUUACAUUCCUUGCCUUCCUUCCUCAGGAGCGAUGAAUUAAAAAAAAAAACAGAGCAAACAGAAUAUAGUCUGCGGGACUAUCGCCGUUCGCCGAUGUCUAUAGUCAGUCUGGAACCGAGAUCGAACUAAAGAUAACUCAUUCUCACAAGUAUGUACGACGUGUGACGAAACAAUACGAAUCUAUAGACGGAAGAAAAGUUAAGUCAAGGUGUUGGGAAAUGGACAGAUUUAUAACGAAGCGAAAACGUGACCCUCCUGAUAAUAAUAGCUCUCAAAAUAGUAACCAGCCUACUAAACCUGGUCAUUCAACUAAGAAGAAAUGUUUAAGUCCUAGUAUCCCUGGCCCUUCAUGUACUGAUGCACUAAUAAUAAUAAAACCUACCCAGCCACAAGAAUCAAAUCCUUCCAACGACUUCAGUUUGCUAGACGAAUCAAAUCUAUCUAACAAAAAAAAACCACAAGCCUUACUUGAUACUUGUAACGAAAAUGAAGAAAUCCAGAUAGCAACAAGUAAUGAAGAGCAUAAAAAAAAUAUUCCAACCAAAUCUAAAAAAGCAUCGGAUAAGACUGAAAAACAUUUAUAUGUUUUUAGCGAGAAAUGGUUAGAAAUUAAAGAACUUUCAGAGUGGCUAGUUUCAGACACAGUUAAAGGCACAAUCAGUGCAAAAUGCAAAUACUGUCAAACUACGUUACCCAACCACAAGCCGCACUUGAUACGACACUCUGAAACUGAUAAACACAAAUCAAUAAUGAAAGCCAUUAAAUCCACAUCAAAUAUUAAAGAAUCAUUAAAACCAUCAGAUGAAGAUCUCUCAGUAAAAAGAGGUGAGCUUAAAAUUGCUGCAAUGCUGGCUACAAAUAAUUUACCAUUCCUCUUAUCAGACACUCUAGUUAGCUUAAUAGCGGACAUUUGCCCCGAUUCGAAAAUUGCUCAGAAGAUGAAGAUGGGUCGUACGAAAGCAACAGCAGUUGUAACACAAAUUUUAGGGCCCAGUCUUCAAAGUACUUUGCAUGAUUAUUUAAAACAACCCGGUAAUUUCUUUUGCCUAAUAAUGGACGAAACAACUGAUGUUGGCACAAAAAAACAAUGUGCGAUGACAGUGAUAUAUUGUGACAAAGAAUUUAAAAUAAAAACAGAAUUCUUCGAUUUGCUGGAAAUGGCCUCAGGUACGGCUGAUGACUUGUAUAACGCAUUAAUACAGAGCGUUGAAACUAAAAAUAUCCCACUAGAAAACUUAGUGGGAUUUUCUUCAGACACGACGAACGUGAUGGUCGGCGAAUAUAAUUCUGUGUUCGCCAAAUUGAAAGAAAGACUUCCUAACAUAGUGUGUGUCCGCUGCUCUUGCCAUAUGAUUCAUUUGGCUGCCUCCAAAGCUUGUCUACAACUGCCAAAAUCAGUAGAAGAUAUGUUACGGAACAUUGGCUCCCAUUUCAGCCGCAGCCACAACCGACAACAGAAGCUUGCAGAAAUGCAACGCUUCUACCAAACACAAAUUCAUCAGAUUCUUUUGCCGGCAACAACCCGGUGGCUUUCUUUAAAGGCAUGUGUCGACCGAACGCUGGAACAGUAUCCUGCACUGGAAGCCUAUUUCAGACUUGAAAUAGUGGAAGAUCCGUCCAGAAUAACUGAAAGUAUCAUUUUCAGUUUGCGUAACCAGUUUACAAAAUUUUAUCUCGAGUUCAUGGCAUAUGUGCUAGACCUGCUAAAUGACUUCAAUAUUACUUUUCAGUCUGAAUCGCCAUUACUUCAUAAACUGAAACCUGCCGUAGAAGGGCUCAUCCGCACAAUUGCAAGUAACUUCAUUGAUUUACAUCACGUCAAAAACACGCCUCCUCUAGAGAUCGAACAUAAAAACCCAAGGUUGUACUUGCCUUUGGAAAAUUUGUACCUUGGUGUUUCUGUGGACUCAAGCCUCAAGGAGGUUCAAAAUGAUGUUAGAAAAGAGGACCUGGAAAGAUUCAAACUAGAUUGCCUGGCAUUUUAUGUUGAAGUAAUAGAACAAAUAAAACAAAGAUUUAUAUUUACAGACCCAAUAUAUGACAUAAUCCAAAUAGUCGAACCAAAAAUUAUAAAAUCGUUUGAUCCACAAAUGAUAACUUCAAUUUUAAACAGAUUUCCUUUUUUAGCCCCCACAUAUCUGAAUAAAAGUGCAUUAAUAAACGAAUGGCGGGAGUACUGUUUAUUAGAUCUGGCAAGUGUGGACGACAGUAUAUCGAUUCAAAUGAAUGCUGCUGAUUUUUGGACAAAAGUAUUUAAAUUAAAGGACAUAGCUGGUACAGAAAAAUUCAAAAAUUUGAAAAUCCUGAUAGGAUUUCUAUUAAUUCUGCCUUUUUCUAAUGCCUCAGUGGAAAGAGUAUUUAGCAAACUAAAGCUGAUAAAGACUGAACAUCGGAAUCGUCUCAAUACCGAAACUAUUGCUGCAUUAAUGGCUAUUAGUUCAUCUAUACAGCAACAAGGUGGUAUACACAAUUUUGAACCCAGCUCUUCUAUGUUAAAUAAGAAGAUAAAGUACUAAAAUUAAUUUGAUUCAGUAGUGACGGAUUUCGCUGAUAAAGUAAACACCUAAAUACAACAUCAAAUUACCUUUUUUGUAAAUUUUGAAAACUAAUGAUUUCGAGAUGAAUAAAUAUUUAUCUGUAGAGAAAUAUUACUAAUUUUGUAGAUUGAAAUGAAAACUAUUAACUUGCAUUGAGCAUGGGUGCAGGCUAAGUAUUAAGUAUUUUGGAAUGAAGCAAAGCAUAUCUACAAACGGAAUGACACAUAUCCAAACUAUUGGAGCUUCAAGCAUGUAUUAGCAAGUUAUUUAUUUAUAAACUCGUGAAGUAUCCCGACCUAACCGUACCUUGAAGUUAAAAACCGUACCUUUUUAGAAAGCCAACCAUCCUUUUUUGGGAAAUCAUACUGGCAACACUG
rnacentral:misc_RNA from 1 species